rnacentral:rRNA from 1 species
CAAUAAGCGGAGGAAAAGAAACCAACAGGGAUUGCCUUAGUAACGGCGAGUGAAGCGGCAACAGCUCAAAUUUGAAAUCUGGUUACUUUGUAGCCCGAGUUGUAAUUUGUAGAGGAUGCUUUUGGUGAGGUGCUUUCUGAGUUCCCUGGAACGGGACGCCAAAGAGGGUGAGAGCCCCGUACAGUUAGAUACCAAACCUUUGUAUAGCUCCUUCGACGAGUCGAGUAGUUUGGGAAUGCUGCUCUAAAUGGGAGGUAUAUCUCUUCUAAAGCUAAAUAUAGGCUAGAGACCGAUAGCGCACAAGUAGAGUGAUCGAAAGAUGAAAAGCACUUUGAAAAGAGAGUUAAACAGCACGUGAAAUUGUUGAAAGGGAAGCGCCUAUGACCAGACUUGUUUCUAUCAGUUUUGGUAGUUUUCGGACUGCUUUACUCUGUUAGUACAGGCCAACAUCAGUUUGUUGUCGGGGAGAAAGGUUUAGGGAAUGUGGCUCCUUCGGGAGUGUUAUAGCCCUUUACAUAAUACCCUUCGGCAGACUGAGGACCGCGCUUCGGCAAGGAUGUUGGCGUAAUGG